UGUGGGGUUUUUUUUGUUUGUUUUUUUUUUUUUUUUUUUUUGCCUAAGCUUUAUUUUUGUAGCCCUUCUACUGAGGCUUUCAUUUCUGCCAUCAUACAUUUAAUUUCCAAGGUCUUUAGGUUGUUGUUUGUUCUCUGAGGGUCCUAUUUUUACUUGCAAUCUGUUCUUCUUUCCUGGUUGCACUAUCUCUUCUAAAAGCUGUGAGGAUACUAAAUAUAUCAUUUUCUGGAAGUUUUCUUCCUCUUGUAUAGUCUUUAUUUUCUCCAAGUGGCUUUCUUCAGAUAUCUUUUAAUAGCUGCCUGCUUAUGCUUGGUAGUGGGGGCAAAAAAGCUGAUUUGAAGCUCUGUUAACAUGAAUGGAACUUGUCAACUGUGAGCUUCAGAGGAGGGCAGUCUGCCCUGGCUAUUUCCUUGGGUAACCCUGAUGCAGGUAUCUUGCCUCUGGACUGGGCAGUUUCCCAAGAGAAUCUUCCCUGUCUGAGUUCUGGAAGGUGAGGAGGGGAGGAGUCUUGAGGAGUCUCAGCACACAAGAGCAUACAGUCUCUUAAUCUUCCUGCUUGGUACCCCAGUCUGGAGACUCAUGGUCAUAUCUUUCCAGAGAAUGAACCUGUCUUCUGCCAGGCCUGGAGAGAGCAGUAAAAAAGACCAUUCAGGACAUGGUUGGGGGUGGGGGGGGGCGGUGGUUGCAAAUAUGAUUACUUUUCAGACUGCUUUCAACCAGUUUCCAUUGCUCAAAUGCCAAUUCCCAGUCCUCUGACCUUACCUCUACUUUUAAAGUUUCCUGGUGCCACCAUUCCCUGAGACUUUGAAAAUGUAAAUUGUGUUAGUUUGCGGCUUCCUCACUACUGACUCAGGAUCUGGCUUCCUUCAGUCUGCUUAAUCAGUUACAGCUCAUCUGUGUGAUUUUUAGCUUGCAAAACAUUGUGGUUGUUGUGUGUUCGUCCCUUCUCACCAUCCUUUUGGGUUUAUGGUAAAGACGAUCACAUUAUUGUUGUUUUUGUGGCGUUUCAAGAGGCAGUAAAGUUGAAUGCGCAUGUUCACUUGCUCAUUAACCCACCCACUCUGGCUCCGCCUCCACUGACAUCUCUCUCACCAAGGUCACCAGUGACUCCAUGUUCCGAAACCCAACGCAAUGUUCUUCAUCCUUGACCUGCGCCACUUCUCAGCAGCUUUUGUCAAAACUGACUGCUCUCUUGGCUGGUCCUCUUCUCUUGGCUUCUGGGAUGCCACCUCUGACUUCUCUGAUUUCCCCUUCUCCGUCCUCUUCUCAAGUUCAUUUUCCUUUACCUGUCCUCUGAAGAGUGGUUUCUUCAGGGUGGAUCCCAGGCCACCCCUUCCCCUCUCCCUCUGCACUCACUUCUCUCUCCUUGCGGAAUCCCACACUUUUGUUCGUGGCUGCAGCACUGACCUUCCUUUGAUGUUCUGUCUUGUCUUAACUCCCAGACAUGCUUAACUUCAAAGUGUCUAAAACAGAACUCCUGAUUUUUUUCCUCUAAAUUAAUUUCUCAGCAAGUCUUCCUUACCCACCCUGCUAAGCAAGCAGAAAUCAGAGUCAUUCUUGUUUUCUCCCUCUUCCUUACCCUUGACAUCCAAAACAUCAGCCAGCCUUCCUGACUCUGCCUCCGUAAUGUGCCUCCAGUCUAUCCGUUUUUCCUCAUUCUCCCUGCCACCUUCCUUUGUCUGUAAGCUGCUGUCAUCUAUCUCUUGCCUUGAUCAUUGCAACAGGCUCAAAACUGGUCUCCCUACUUUUUCUCUUGGCUCCCUAAAGUCAGUUCUCUACACAAGUGCUCUUUAAAAAAAAAAACAAACCCCAAAAGCAGAUUAGUGUCUCUUCUGAGAAAAAUACUUUGUGUUGCUCUUAUAACAAAGUCCCACUUGUUACCAUGUCUCCACCAGAUGUCUGGCUUUUCUACUGGGCGCCCUUGUUAUCUCCCUGGGGAUCUCCACAUCUCUUCUGGGUGCUGCAGUCUCCUGAUAGACAUGCCAGAGCACAUACCUCUCCUAUUUUUCUAUGUUUCAUUGCUGAGGGGAGUGCCAAAGGGGUGACAUCUAUGCCCUAAUAUCAGGCAGCUUUAAAAAUUUUUUAAUCUUAUUUAUUGAGGUAUAACUGACACGUAAUAUCACAUUAGCUUCAGAUGGACAGCACAGUGAUUCUGUAAUUGUACGCAUCGUGAAAUGCUCACCACAAUAAGUCCACUUCACAUCCAUCUACUCUCUUGGCAAUGUCCAAAUAUGCAAUACAGUGUCAUUACCUGUAGUCACCAUGCUGUCCCUGACACCCCCAGGACUUAUUUAUAUUCUAACUGCAAGUUAUAUCUUUUGACCAUCUUCACUCAUUUCGCCUACUCUCCACCCCAACCUCUGGCAAGCACCACAAACAGCUCUGAGUGGGAGUAUUUUCUAGUUUUGUUUACAGCCUCCUCCUUUCUACAGACUUUGGGUCCAACAGGUUCAUAGAGGGGGAGGGUUUGGAGGACCAGGGGCAUCAGCAGGGCAGGCUGUGAACUGAAUAACCGCCAUGAGACUGCACUAAGAACCUUCUUUCUUUCUGACCGCUCAGACCUUGCUUUUUGAGCAAGCUUGAUUUCCCCAAAUCUUCCCAGGAGGUUUCUCAGUCUCCGAGGCAAGUAGAGCUCCCCGGAGCUUUGACCAGAGAGGUUUAGCUAUUUAGCUUUAACUCGUUCCUCACCAUGACCACUGACUUUUCUUUCGUUCUCUAAUCACCCCCCACACCUUGUCCCCCUAAAAUGUCCCCAUACAUUUUUGAGGACCCAAAAGAGAUUCACUGUUCUUUCUGUAUAGGGCUUAUCCAGUAAGGUGGGGUUUGUCCUCUUUUCUUCCCCCCACAGUCCUAAUGCUAUUCUUAUUUGAGAUGCCUUGAUAAGAAUGAAACUGCCUGCUCUCUGGCCUCUGGUGGCAGCAAUUCCGAGAUUCCUCAGUGCGUUGCUUGCUGUUAGCUGAGAACUUGAAAGGCGCAUCAGUUAAUUCAACCUAAUGAAAGAAUCUGUCAGGAGGUAAAAUCAACAAUGCGGAUAAUCAAAACAUUCCACCGGCCCACACAUAAUUUUUACUAGCUCAUUUCCUCCCAGCGCUGCCGGGGUAACACCCUAUGCAAUGUAGAUAAUAAACAUAAAAAUCAAAUCAUUGUUCUUAUAUUCAUGGCUUGUUCCUGGAUUUGGUCACAUGACUGUUUAUGAGGGAGUUCUCAAGUGUGGAUGGAGUAAUUUUUCACUCUAUUUCCAGUAACUGUUCUAUUUUUCUUAAUUCCGAAUAGGAUUACUGACAGCAUACACACGGCGUGGACCUGGAACGUUUCUCCAGGCCCUUAAUCUUCCCUUUUCCCCUUGUGAAUAGUAGGAACACAGUGUAGCUUUUCCACAAUGGGGUUGCCCUCGGAGAAGACCCCUCCCUAGAUGCUUGCCCGGCCCCAUGUGAACAGCUCUCAAACGGAAGAUGGGCAACGUGACCAAUGCGUGCACUUUGGUGUCACGUGAACCUGCAUUGAAAUCUUGGCUUUGGUGUCACGGUUGACGUCGGACGAGUCGCUUAACCUCUAGAAAGAAUCUCAAUUAUCUGGGCUACUCUGAGCUAUGUGAACAUUGCUGAGAACAGUCAAGAGCCCCAAGAAACAGUUUGCCCCCCUGCUCCAGCCCACAGUCAGGGGUGAGGAGAACAUUCUGUUCCUGUCCGUGAGCUUUGCCCUAAAAACCCGAACCCUGCACUCCUGGACUCCUGGCCUUGUGAACUAGCCAUCCUCUGCCAGCAGCAUCGGGCACAAUCUAUUCCAUCUAGUUGAGGCCUCUUUUCGUCCGAUUAUAUUCUGACAGGUGCCAGCUGAUUCUCAAACUACUUUUCAGAUUCACAUGCUGUCAAAAUCUUCCUGGGUUCAAGGUGAAGUUUCGAUCAGGGAGAGCUGAUGCUCGGAUUUGGGACCAUUGGUCUUAGUAAACACUGUAGAUGGCACCGUGCAAACCCAUAGAAAAUGCUCGUUCUCCAAACUCUGCCCUUCCUUUGCUGUAGAGAGAAGUAAGACUCCGUGUGUAGGGACUAAGAUCUAGGCUCCAAUCUUCCUCUUCCUGACAUUUAGACCAACCUUUGGCAAAUGUCUCAACCUUUCUUUGUUUCAGGUGAAGAGGAAUUACAGAAACAACAUUAUUAAUUCAUCCAGUGUGACACUAAAGGACAUGGAGGGCUCUAAACAGCCUUAAGAACACGCAGUGCUGGGGCGCCUGGGUGGCUCAGUAGAUUAGGGGUCUGACUUCGGCUCAGGUCAGGAUCUUACAGUUGGUGGGUUUGAGCCCCACAUCAGGCUCUGUGCUGGCAGCUCAGAGCCUGGAGCCUGCUUCGGAGUCUCUGUCUCCCUCUCUCUCUGCUCCUCCCCCUCUCAUGCUCUGUUUCUGUCUCUGCCUCUCUCUCUCUCUCUCUCUCAAAGGAAAAAGGAAAAGAAUAUGUAGUACUAUGUGGAUGUUUUACCAAAACCUUCUCUGGGUUUUUGGAAUUCUCUUUGGAAUUAGUCCUGUGGGAAUAUGCCUCUGUGGAUCUCUUCUCGCCUCUAAUUCAGUCCCCUUUUCUUCAAGCUGUUACAGUCUACAAUCUGAAGUUCUGCCAUUUUAAAAAAUCACACAGCAGCCACAUCAUCAUCACCAGACUUUCCUCUCCAGGCCAUUUUCUGGAGAAUGUGGCUCAUAUUUCCUGGUGAGAGAACAAAUCGGUUAUUCAUUACAUCUUAUCAAUGAGCUAGGGCUACACAGAAAGGAAGUCUAAUGAAAUCAGAAACUUGGAAAUACCAGCAACUGCUUUGUCCCGGGUUUUCAUCUGGGGUGUAACAAAGUCCCACAGGACAUUCCUCCAGGCUCUGAGAUGAAUGCUGAAGGCAUUGACAGCAUUUGCUGAAUCUCUUUAGAAUUAACUCCGAGGAGCUGACCUGUCUUCUCCUGAGAAUUAUUUGGUUUAAAUAUUAAUGGGGGGGAAUUUACAAUGUUUAGUUUCACAUUUCUAUAUAAAUGUUUUGUGGUAACAUAUGCAAUUAAUUAUUUUCUUUUUUCCACAUGCGCAAAAUUUUCUCUUUCACUCUCUCUAACCUCUUCAUCCAAGUCAAAAACUCAUUUAUCUUCUUGCUGUUUUAAUAUUUCAGUUUCUCUUUCUUGUUUUCACUCUGGUUGUCAUGUUUACCUGGCGUCUGUGUAUCACCUCAACGCCAGGACUACAGAUCUCCCCCGGGAUGCAUUCUUCAAAGGUGAGAGGUCAAUGAGGAUGUGUCAGCUAGUCAAGAUUGGGGAACCGGAGGGUUGCUCAGUGGAAACAACUUUAGAAUCUUCCAGAUGGAGGGCAUGGGGGAGCCUAUAGCUCUGGUUUGCUCGCUGAAUCUGGACUCAGGGGAUCCUUGCUGAAGUUUGGCAUUCAGGACUAAAGAGAUUUAGCUGGAAUCUGCAUCCUGUUGGCUAGAAUUAUUGCUGCUUUCGUUCCUCAUUUGUAUGACUUUUUCACUUGGCAAAUUCAAAACGUAUAAAGCAGUGAAUCUGUCUGUAUUCUUCUUUCAGAUGACUGAUCCUGAAGGCUUAGGGUCCUGCACAGCUUCUGUUCUGUCCUAAACUGUGACUCUCUCACUCAAGGUCUCCUUUCUUCAGCUCACUACACUUGGGCAGAGCCCUGUGAUGCUUGGCCAGAUAAAUAAGAUCUGUAGGUAGAAGGGCUUUGGUCCCUAAAGCCCUCUGCUCCAGUUUCCAUAGAAACAAGCCAAGUGUGAUACCCACCACAAGGGCUCUUAAAGCCACACCUACUUUAUUCUGAGAAUCCCAUCGCGUUACAAAUACCACUCAGCAAUCGUUUUUAUUUUCUAUUAUUUUUUUUUUCAGCAAUAG